UCCAUGGGAAAAAAAAGAAUGACAAAUUGAUAAAGAAUCUAAACAAUACAUCCAUUACUAUAAAAAAAUAAUAAAAAAAAAGCCACAUUCACACAACAGAUUACAACAAUAGCAAUGACAAUGACAAUAUGGGCGUUUGGUCAGUAAUCCAUAAUGUUCACUAUUAGUUGUCAAUAUGAUGUUCUUCCCCUUGAGAUAAUAGUGACAAAAAAACACAAAAGAGCAAAAGGUGUGCUAUAUCUUCGCAUGAAGAUUCACUAAAUUACUGUUAGCUUUAACUUGAAAAGCAAAAGAGAAACAGGGAAUAAAAAAAAUGAAACUGUCUCCAUGUAGGUGUAAUCUUUUGCACAUCAAAAACCAAAGCAAAUAAUUCAUGUUUCCAUGUCUCCACUAGUAGAAAUCGCACAAACAAAAGCAGCUCUUGAGAAAAUUGCAAACUAUCUACCCAUCUUCAUCAUAAUCUUCACAUUUGCACUCAUCUUCAUUUUUAGUUUUAUCCACACCUUGAGCUUCAUCAUCAUCAUCUUCUUCUUCUAGACCUUGAUAGCCAUUGCCUGCUACAUUUUGUCCACAUUCACCUGGUCUAUUAUGGUUAUUGUAUUCUCUUCUUUCAUCGUCUUCAUCAUCAUUGUAGGGCACAAGUGGGUUAUCAAUGAUUUGUGGAGAAGGAGAUACAGAAGGAGAGUUGUGUUCAACCAAUCUUCGCCGCUUUGGGGAACCUUUCUUGCUCUCCAUAGUAUUAUCUUCUCUUCUUGUUUUGUUUUCUUUAUUAUAUCACAAAGUGGCUAAUUAUAGGGAAACUGAAACUUUUGAAAACUAAAGUUCACAAAUAAAUUAUUAUAAUCUGAUAAGUCAUAACAUAGUUAAGGCGUCUUCUAUAGUUAUUUUGAUUUUAACUUGCUUUGAUUAUACUUUUUAUAUUAUAUAUUACACUAUUGAAUUGAAUUUUAACAAUUCAUCUAAUGGUAGUUAUUGACAGAGUAUGAUUUACUUCGUAAAAAUCAAAGUUAUCAUAGAAACUCCCCACAGUUAAAGAGGUAUCCACAUAAAUUGUUCCCACUACAUACACAUGCCAAACCUGAUAAAAAUUAAUCCUUUGCGGCAAGGAAUUGCAUUGAAUAGGGUACUAGAAGAAUUACUCUACCCAAACAGAAACAUCCCUACUGCCUGUAACGGUCCAAACCCAAUUAAAUACCCGCCUACUACCUAAACCCACCAAAAUCCGUUCUUUUAAAAAAAAAAAAAAAACAGAAAUUUUAAUAAAGACUGCAUGAAUAAUUCACUACAAACACCAUUCCAUUUCUAAACUAUAAUUACACUAUAAAACGUAUUAGCUCAUCAAAUAAACUAUAAAAGAACUUCACACAACAACCCAUCCAUUUGAAACAUAGUUACAUUAUAGACAGACAGUAAUGAUCAACCAAAUGAUUACCUCAUAUUGACAUUAGCACUAAGGGUUACAGCCUCUGGCCACCUAAAGAUUGUUAGUCACGCGCUAUAGGUUCCCUCAGAAACCUCACAGUGGAAAAGCACCAUCGUCGUGUGAACAACCGUCUAUGGAGUGACCGUGAAGAGAGUGACAAUGGCAGCAGAGGAAGAGUGAUUCAUUCGACGAGAUAGGUGAAGGAAGGAGAUAAGAAGAGGGGCAGCAGCAGCAACAAAUGAGGGGCGAAUCGUCGAGGAUCUUCGACGAAAGAAAAUGUUGAGGAUGAUGUAACCCUCAGCCAAAAAAAG
rnacentral:misc_RNA from 1 species